AUCGAACGCUGGCGGCAUGCCUUACACAUGCAAGUCGAACGGCAGCACGGGAGCUUGCUCCUGGUGGCGAGUGGCGAACGGGUGAGUAAAGCAUCGGAACGUGCCCUGGAGUGGGGGAUAACGUAGCGAAAGUUACGCUAAUACCGCAUAUUCUGUGAGCAGGAAAGCAGGGGAUCGCAAGACCUUGCGCUCUGGGAGCGGCCGAUGUCGGAUUAGCUAGUUGGUGGGUAAAGGCCUACCAAGGCGACGAUCCGUAGCGGGUCUGAGAGGAUGAUCCGCCACACUGGGACUGAGACACGGCCCAGACUCCUACGGGAGGCAGCAGUGGGGAAUUUUGGACAAUGGGCGGAAGCCUGAUCCAGCCAUGCCGCGUGAGUGAAGAAGGCC
rnacentral:rRNA from 1 species